CCCGUUCUCUGUCUCUCUCACCAAGUCGGAGCAGUUUACACCUGGGGUAAAGGUGACUACCACCGGCUGGGUCCGGUUCUGAUGACCACGUACGGCGACCCAGACAGGUCCAGGGCCUGCAGGGGAAGAAGGUCAUUGCCAUAGCAACGGGGUCACUCCACUGUGUCUGCUGCACUGAAGAUGAGUGUACACGUGGGGUGAUAAUGACGAGGGCCAGCUGGGAGACGGGACCACUAACGCCAUCCAGAGGCCUCGUCUGGUCGCUGCGUUGCAGGGAAAGAAGAUCAACAGGGUGGCCUGUGGCUCUGCCCACAACUGCCUGGUCCACCUCCAAACCUACCAAUGGUGGGAAACUUCCUGGUCAGGUAACUAUCGAAUGUUAUAACUUCCUGGUCAGGUAACUACUGAAUGUUAUAACUUCCUGGUCAGGUAACUACUGGACGGUAUAACUUCCUGGUCAGGUAACUACUGAAUGUUAUAACUUCCUGGUCAGGUAACUACUGAAUGUUAUAACUUCCUGGUCAGGUAACUACUGAAUGUUAUAACUUCCUGGUCA